rnacentral:rRNA from 1 species
GACGAACGCUGGCGGCGUGCUUAACACAUGCAAGUCGAACGGAAAGGCCCUGCUUUUGUGGGGUGCUCGAGUGGCGAACGGGUGAGUAACACGUGAGUAACCUGCCCUUGACUUUGGGAUAACUUCAGGAAACUGGGGCUAAUACCGGAUAGGAGCUCCUGCUGCAUGGUGGGGGUUGGAAAGUUUCGGCGGUUGGGGAUGGACUCGCGGCUUAUCAGCUUGUUGGUGGGGUAGUGGCUUACCAAGGCUUUGACGGGUAGCCGGCCUGAGAGGGUGACCGGCCACUUGGGGACUGAGAUACGGCCCAGACCCCCACGGGGGGCAGCAGGGGGGAAUUUUGCACAAUGGGCGGAAGCCUGAUGCAGAAACCCCGGGUGGGGGAUGACGGCCUUCGGGUUGUAAACCGCUUUCGCCUGUGACGAAGCGGGGGUGCCGGUAAUGGGAAAAGAAGCCCCGGCUACCUACGU